AAAAAUCGAAUGCAUGCCGCAAGCGAUAAAACUUUUAUCCCAUAAAUAUCGAGCCUACUCAGACUCUAUAAUAUAUGUAUGUAUUUACACUCGUCCAUACUCCCUAUAUAAAUUCAUGGGUCUAUAUAGGGCUACUACGCUCGCGUCCAACGCUCACGUCACGCCUUAAUGCGGUGCUACACUACGCCAUCAAGGUGGACAGACGGGUGUAUAAAUAUGUGUCCAUACCCCCUAUAUGAAUUAAACACUCAAAUAGGGCUACUACGCUUACGUCCAACGCUCACUUCACACCAUAAUGCGGCUAUAUGCUACGCCAUUAAGGUGGACAGACACAUAUGGCUAGCUAGCAUUUUCUAUACAUACUCUCUCAUAAAUACAUAUUUAUAUCCACCGAAAAUCCCAUUUUCGGUAUCUCUCCAAGAGAAAUAAAAAUCGUCAAAAAUUAAAAUGACGUCAAAAAUACUCCACGACAUUAAUUAUUCAAUCGUGAACUUUAGCAUGCAUUUAUUUAAAAUAAACGUCCACUCACAAAUUAGGCCUAAGCCUGAUGUCGAUCUGGGGUCUCGUCUGCUCGAGCCUCCUCACGUCCUGUUCCAAAUAUAAUAUUAAUUUCCCAACCAAUAAUCCAAUAUUUAAAUCAAAAUAGGCAAAAUUACCCGAGAGCCAUAAUUACGCUCAUCAUUGCCUAACUUCGAUAUUCUUACAUCGGAACGAUCUGAACUUAAAUAUCAUACUCAACAGUCGUAAAUACAAUCUCUCCAAAAUACGACUUAAAUCCUACGGCCGGAUUCUACAUUAAUUAACCGCCAAAAAUACCAAACUUCGGAAAUUCACAAACCUAUCCAAAUCUCAUCCAAAAAUUCCAUAAAUCACACCAAUAUACUCCUCUUAAUAUUCCACAUUUAAAACCCUAAAAAUCUCCUAACCGGCGGCGGCUCCGCCGGCAGCCGUUUUCCGGCGACCUGCAAAUGCUACCAAAUUUUAACAGAAUCUUCCUCUCAAUCUUCUCUACAACUUUCAUGACUAACACAAACUCCAAUUCUAAGCCUAACCAUGUCGAUCGAACACAAACAACCAUAAAUCCUUAAAACUUUCAAUUAAACAAACCUCCCUAACGAAAUCGAAUUUAGCCGAAACCUUUUGAGGGAUUACUCACCUAGAUGAGGGCUACAAGUUGAGACCAAAAAUCACGACCUAUGGUGGCCGGAAGACGGAGCUCCGGCGAAGGACCCUUUCCGGCAGUCGAACCUUUCGGGGUUGACCGCUCCUUCACGGCGGCGUUCCGGGCGCGUGCACCGGUCCAGGAUGAGAGAGGAAGAAGCAAGGGUCCGAACGGGACCAGUCUGGCGGUCGGUGGUGGCCGGACGGCGGCGGACGGCGGUGGUGAAAUUCCCGGGUGGAGAGAGGAGAAAAUCGGGUGGGAGGAGAGAGAAUCGGGAGAGAGGGAGAAGAGAAAGAAGAAAUGGGUUGGGCUCGGCCCAGCCGACCCAACACUCCUUUUAACCCAAAAUUCCAAAAUUCAACACCCCGAAAAAUAAUACCCGAAUAAAAAUUACCUUUUACUAGUUAAAAUUUACUAUUUUUACCGUCGUCGUAUUUUCCCCAUACGAAUUAUCCUCCGCACAUAAUCGUCCCCGAAACCCCUCUAGGGACCAAUUAAACUAUUUACUCAAUGAUCGGGACGGUAAAAUUCUUAUUAUAAACACGCUAGUAAAUAAGGUAAAAAUAUAAGGGUCGGGAUGUGACAAUAAUUCACAUUCAAACGGAGAAAAAUCAACUUAUAUGCAAAAAUUGAAGUUUACUACCCCUAGUAAAAGUUUACUGGGGUAGUAAACUUGUAAAACAGUAGCUCAAAUGCCAUAAUUCAUAUUCAAACGGAGAAAAAUCAACUUAGAUGCGAAAAAAUUAAGUUUACUAGCCCUAGUAACCUUUUACUGAGGGUAGUAAACUUGCAAAACAGUAGCUCCAAUGCCAUAAUUCACAUUUAAAAGGAGAAAAAUCAACUUAGAUGCGAAAAAAUGAAGUUUACUGGGGGUAGUAAACUUGCAAAACAGUAGCUCCAAUACCAUUAUACACAUUAAAACAAUGAAAAAUCAACUUAAAUGUGAAAAAAUAAAGUUUACUACCCCCAGUAAACUUUACUAGUCAGUAUAUACUUGCAAUACAAUAUUUUUCUAGUCAGUAUAUACAUUAAAACAUAAAAAAAAAUCAACUUAGAUACGGACAAAUAAAGUUUACUACCCCUAGUAAACUUUUAUAGGGGGUAGUAAACUCAAAAUAAAGUUUCUCCAUGACCAUUAUAUACCUUAAAACAGUGAAAAAUCAACUUAGAUGCAGAAAAAUAAAAUUUACUGCCCCUAGUAAACUUUUGCUGGGGGUAGUAAACUUGUAAUACAGUUUUCCUAUGACCAUUAUAUAUCUUAAAGGAGAGAAACAAUCAACAUAUAUGCAAAAAAAUAAAGUUUACUACCCCCAGUAAACUUUUACUAGGGGUAGUAAACUUGCGAAACAGUAGCCCCAAUGCCAUAAUUCACAUUCAAACGGAGAAAAAUCAACUUAUAUGCAAAAAAUGAAGUUUACUACCCCUAGUAAAAGUUUACUGGGGUAGUAAACUUGUAAAACAGUAGCUCAAAUGCCAUAAUUCACAUUCAAACGGAGAAAAAUCAACUUAGAUGCGAAAA
rnacentral:lncRNA from 1 species